GGGGAUGUAGCUCAGUUUUGGUUAGAGUGUCGGCCUGUCACGCCGAAGGUCGCGGGUUCAAGUCCCGUCAUUCCCGCCA
rnacentral:tRNA from 2 species